GUCUCAGUUCGGAUUGGAGUCUGCAACCCGACUCCAUGAAGCUGGAUUCGCUAGUAAUCGCGCAUCAGCCACGGCGCGGUGAAUACGUUCCCGGGCCUUGUACACACCGCCCGUCAAGCCAUGGGAGCCGGGGGUGCCUGAAGGCCGUGACCGCGAGGAGCGGCCUAGGGUAAAACUGGUGACUGGGGCUAAGUCGUAACAAGGUAGC
rnacentral:rRNA from 1 species